UUAUGUUCAUUUGCAUGGAAAUUAAUUUGAAGAUGGCGAGAAGUUUACAGUAUAACAAAAUAAAAAGUUGUUUUUGAUAGAACAUAAGGCAGAAGAAUCAUCAUAAAGCAAAUUUAAUAAAACUGUUUUACUGAACCAGCAUCGAAAAAUGUUAAGUUUGCAUUGCUUACACGUUUAAGAAAUGAUUAUUACUAUAUUAGUAAUAUUUUCGAGGCCUUUUAACGUCGAUUAUGACAUCUUGCUAUCUUGUCACUUCAACACUAUCGCUUCUGUCGAUGACAGCGGGUGUUAAUUAUUCCAAACUAAGAGAAUGCUUAGAGUGUGGAUGGCUUGCUAUGAUGGAUAUAGGUACAGACACGUGUGCUACCAAUCUGUACCAGACCGUCCGUCACAGCUGUCUGAACCUAAAGAUGGAUUGUAAAGAUGCUGGUAGGUUGUCAUCCUGUGUGUGUUAAUGCCGAUCUCCUGUUUCCAUCCCUCCUAUCCGACUUGGUAAAUAUGAUGGAAAGUUUUAGAUAUCUUUACGUGCUAAGAAAUUCAAGAAAAUGCCUUCCAGUCUGAAAUAACGUGAUGAAACUCGAUGAUAUCCGUAGGCUCCAGAUAAACAUUCCACUUCUCCAAUGAAUGGGAAGUUUCUGCCUUUAGACAGUGGUAGGAGUAGAUAUAUUUUUUCUUCUUCUUUCGUUACACAUAUUGAAUAAAUUCUGUGUGUGUAAUCCCUAAAAAAAAAAAAAACUUUACAGUUAAAAACUUUAAUAAUUUGCCUGCUGAUUCAAUCAUUUUCUUUCCCUCUUGAUAGUAGAUUAACAUAAUUAAGUCUUUUUUUUUUUUACUUUAUAAAUUAUUUAUCGCAUUAUUUUAAAUUUUUACUUUAAAAAAAAAAC
rnacentral:lncRNA from 1 species